GAGCAGAACACAACACAAUCUUCAUCAUCACACAAGACACAACAACAACAAUGAACAGCAACCUCAUCCUCAUCUGGACCAUUGUAGCUUUUAUUCAUGAAUCCAGAGGACUCACUGUGACUCAGCCUAAAGUUAAAACUGUGCAACAGGGUCAAACAGUUACAAUAGAGUGUAGUAUGGAUGUAGGAAUAUACAGCAACUACUUAGCCUGGUAUCAGCAGAAACCUGGAGAAGCUCCUAAACUCCUCAUUUAUUACAUAAACACCCUCCAGUCAGGAACUCCAUCUAGAUUCAGUGGCAGUGGAUCUUACUCUGGAACUGAUUUCUCUCUGACCAUCAGUGGAGUCCAGACUGAAGACACAGGAGAUUAUUACUGUCUGAGUUACCACUACAUCAACAGUAAAGAUGUGUUCACACAGUGAUAAAGAGUCGUACAAAAACCUCCGUCAGUCAGAGUCACAGUGACUGCACUGAUACACCUGAGAGACA